ensembl:misc_RNA 7SK 7SK RNA
GGAUGUGAGGGCCAUCUGGCUGUGACAUCUGUCACCCCAUUGAUCGCCAGGGUUGAUUCGGUGGAUCUGGCUGGCUAGGCGGGUUAGGCGGGUGUCCCCUUCCUCCCUCACCGCUCCAUGUGCAUCCCUCCCGAAGCUGUGCACUAGGUCGAAGAGGACUACCUUCCCAGAAUAGAGGAGGACCGGUCUUUGGUCAAGGGUUUACAAGUAGCUGCGCUCCCCUGCUAGAAUAUAAUACAGAUGCCCUAUUUAGUACUGAGAACUCUACAGUCCUUCAUUCUCUGUGAGUUGAUCAGUUGAUGCCCUUUGUGUUAAUCAUCAUCUACUGCAGGAAGCAGCUUCUAUGA